rnacentral:rRNA from 1 species
UGGGGAAUAUUGCACAAUGGGGGAAACCCUGAUGCAGCGACGCCGCGUGGGUGACGAAGUAUUUCGGUAUGUAAAGCCCUAUCAGCAGGGAAGAAGAUGACAGUACCUGACCAAGAAGCCCCGGCUAACUACGUGCCAGCAGCCGCGGUAAUACGUAGGGGGCAAGCGUUAUCCGGAUUUACUGGGUGUAAAGGGAGCGUAGGUGGCAUGGCAAGCCAGAAGUGAAAACCCGGGGCUUAACCCCGCGGAUUGCUUUUGGAACUGUCAGGCUGGAGUGCAGGAGGGGCAGGCGGAAUUCCUGGU